CUUUCACCGGGGACGAUAAUGACGGUACCCGGAGAAGAAGCCCCGGCUAACUUCGUGCCAGCAGCCGCGGUAAUACGAAGGGGGCUAGCGUUGCUCGGAAUUACUGGGCGUAAAGGGCGCGUAGGCGGACAUUUAAGUCGGGGGUGAAAUCCCAGGGCUCAACCCUGGAACUGCCUUCGAUACUGGAUGUCUUGAGUGCGGGAGAGGUGUGUGGAACUCCGAGUGUAGAGGUGAAAUUCGUAGAUAUUCGGAAGAACACCAGUGGCGAAGGCGACACACUGGCCCGUUACUGACGCUGAGGCGCGAAAGCGUGGGGAGCAAACAGGAUUAGAUACCCUGGUAGUCCACGCCGUAAACGAUGAUUGCUAGUUGUCGGAGUGCAUGCACUUCGGUGACGCAGCUAACGCAUUAAGCAAUCCGCCUGGGGAGUACGGUCGCAAGAUUAAAACUCAAAGG
rnacentral:rRNA from 1 species